CCUACGGGAGGCAGCAGUGGGGAAUAUUGGACAAUGGGCGAAAGCCUGAUCCAGCAAUGCCGCGUGAGUGAUGAAGGCCUUAGGGUUGUAAAGCUCUUUUACCAGGGAUGAUAAUGACAGUACCUGGAGAAUAAGCUCCGGCUAACUCCGUGCCAGCAGCCGCGGUAAUACGGAGGGAGCUAGCGUUAUUCGGAAUUACUGGGCGUAAAGCGUACGUAGGCGGUUAUUCAAGUCAGAGGUGAAAGCCCGGGGCUCAACCCCGGAACUGCCUUUGAAACUAGAUAACUAGAGUCUUGGAGAGGUUAGUGGAAUUCCGAGUGUAGAGGUGAAAUUCGUAGAUAUUCGGAAGAACACCAGUGGCGAAGGCGACUAACUGGACAAGUACUGACGCUGAGGUACGAAAGCGUGGGGAGCAAACAGGAUUAGAUACCCUGGUAGUCCACGCCGUAAACGAUGAUAACUAGCUGUCCGGGCACUUGGUGCCUGGGUGGCGCAGCUAACGCAUUAAGUUAUCCGCCUGGGGAGUACGGUCGCAAGAUUAAAACUCAAAGAUAUAGACGNGNGAGNGCGACGACGACGACGACGGAGGAG
rnacentral:rRNA from 1 species